GUGAAUGACCAGUUCAAG
rnacentral:piRNA from 1 species